UUCUUCACCUGAAAAUAAUGAGCAGAUAAAUGAACAUAAGAACAUGAAACAUUAUUAACAUCUUAAACUCCAUUAAAUACAGAACAAGACUCCAUUAAAUACAGAACAAGAACUUAAACAUUUUAACUUUUUAACAUAACAAGAACUUAAACAGAACAAGAACAAACAUAAGAAGAACAAGACAAACACAACAAAGAUUCAGACACGAGAAAGAUUAAGAAACAAAGACAGUGACAUAAACAAACACUAUACAUCAAGAGCAUCAAGCUUUACACUAUAGAUUCAGACUCAACCUCUAAUGUAAUCAGAUAACCAUCAAAAGCAUCAAGCUUUACCCUAGACAUUGACAGAGAAAAAACCACUCAAUUAAACAUCUAAUCUAAUAUGAUCACUAUCAAAAAGCAUCAAGCUUUACCGCAGACAUAAAAGAGAAAACAUCACUCAACUGAACAUCUAAACUAAUCUGAUCACUAUC
rnacentral:lncRNA from 1 species